GCCCAUUGGUGCAUGAGAUCUUUCAUUUUUCUACUGAUUUUUCUCUUUUCUCUGUUUGACACACCUUCAGAGAAGACAAUUUCGCUGCUGAUUGGUUGGCCAGCACUGGUGAUACUUUCUUUCUUUCCAAGUUGGACAUGAUUCUCCAUAAUUUAGCUAUUAAAGUACCUUCUCAGAAGCGUGGAGAUUUGGAACCAACAGCAAAAGAAUCAAGAAAGGGGGUGGC
rnacentral:lncRNA from 1 species